ACACAUGCAAGUCGAGGGGCAGCAUCAUUAAAGCUUGCUUUGAUGGAUGGCGACCGGCGCACGGGUGAGUAACACGUAUCCAACCUGCCGACAACACUGGGAUAGCCUUUCGAAAGAAAGAUUAAUACCGGAUGGCAUAGUUUUCCCGCAUGGGAUAAUUAUUAAAGAAUUUCGGUUGUCGAUGGGGAUGCGUUCCAUUAGGCAGUUGGCGGGGUAACGGCCCACCAAACCAACGAUGGAUAGGGGUUCUGAGAGGAAGGUCCCCCACAUUGGAACUGAGACACGGUCCAAACUCCUACGGGAGGCAGCAGUGAGGAAUAUUGGUCAAUGGACGAGAGUCUGAACCAGCCAAGUAGCGUGAAGGAUGACUGCCCUAUGGGUUGUAAACUUCUUUUAUACGGGAAUAAAGUGAGCCACGUAUGGCUUUUUGUAUGUACCGUAUGAAUAAGGAUCGGCUAACUCCGUGCCAGCAGCCGCGGUAAUACGGAGGAUCCGAGCGUUAUCCGGAUUUAUUGGGUUUAAAGGGAGCGUAGGCGGGUUGUUAAGUCAGUUGUGAAAGUUUGCGGCUCAACCGUAAAAUUGCAGUUGAUACUGGCGACCUUGAGUGCAACAGAGGUAGGCGGAAUUCGUGGUGUAGCGGUGAAAUGCUUAGAUAUCACGAAGAACUCCGAUUGCGAAGGCAGCUUACUGGAUUGUAACUGACGCUGAUGCUCGAAAGUGUGGGUAUCAAACAGGAUUAGAUACCCUGGUAGUCCACACAGUAAACGAUGAAUACUCGCUGUUGGCGAUAUACGGUCAGCGGCCAAGCGAAAGCAUUAAGUAUUCCACCUGGGGAGUACGCCGGCAACGGUGAAACUCAA
rnacentral:rRNA from 1 species